rnacentral:lncRNA from 1 species
GAAGAGAGUCAGUCUCACAUGGUGCUACGUAGGGAAAAGCAUUCUGUGGCAUCACAGGUGUGCUUUUAAUUAACGUUUAUCUGAGUGAUUAUAAUUAAAGAUUUUACCACAGAUGUUCCUGGAAUAAUUACUUUCUACUUCCUUGCGCAGUGCACGUUUUAGGAAAUGGAGACUAUUUCUCCCUUCAAAUACUUUCUCAGUUAUUUUAGAAUUUCUUGCUCUUCAAUGGCUUUGCUAUCGAGGUUUUCCUAAUAGCUUUUCUUUUUCAGAUUCCCACUGGGUUUUCCAGGACCUCAGAAAAGGCAUUUAAUAAAAUACAGGUUGCAUUUUAUUAUGCUUGCGUCUAGGGAAACCAGUAUCUGCGGAGUUCCAAAUUUAUCUUUGGAGUUGAGAAUGAAUUGCUCGUUUUUUGUUUCUGGCGCUCCUCACUGGUUCUACUUUCUUCAGUUUUGUUCUGCGUCUUUGAAGAUAGAGAUCUGAUUUGUUAUUGCACUUGUACACGCAGGUCUUAGCUGAUGGUUUUAUUGCACGUCGACUGUUGUGAGGUGUACCGGAUACGAAAGACUGAGCAGCUAUCCUGAUUUACGUGAAGACUGAUUGUGCCUCUCUGCACGUUAGCUAGCAUUUCCUUGGUUUCCUGUUGACAUUUUUGUCAAUAACAUAACAUCAUAUUGUGAAGUGGCAAUUAGAAAACACAGGUGAAGAGAAGCAGGCUCUGUUUUGCUUGGGGUUCUGAGAUGCAUGGGAUCACGUUCUUCCUUUGAGUUUUAAUAAAAGAAACUGAACUACGAAUUUAGAACAGAAUGACAGAUCUGAAGGAACGGAUAUCAGUGGAGUCCACGGUCACUUCUGUUGUAUGCCAUACGAGGUCAUACAAACUGACCGACGUAACUGGCACGUUUCAUUUUCCUAAGCGGUCGCUGAGCCUGGUUCAAACGCAGUUCCUGACUUCUGCCAGCAGCUAG